rnacentral:rRNA from 1 species
GACAGAGGGUGCAAACGUUGUUCGGAAUUACUGGGCGUAAAGCGCGUGUAGGCGGCUCGGAAAGUCGGGUGUGAAAGCCCUGGGCUUAACCCAGGAAGUGCACUCGAAACUUCCGAGCUGGAGUCCUGGAGAGGAAGGCGGAAUUCUCGGUGUAGAGGUGAAAUUCGUAGAUAUCGAGAGGAACACCGGUGGCGAAGGCGGCCUUCUGGACAGUGACUGACGCUGAGGCGCGAAAGCGUGGGGAGCAAACAGG